rnacentral:tRNA from 1 species
GCGAGCGUAACUCAGUUGGUAGAGUGUCAGCUUCCCAAGCUGAAUGUCGCGGGUUCGAAUCCCGUCGCUCGCUC